AGUGAACGCUGGCGGUAGGCCUAACACAUGCCAGUCGAACGGCAGCACAGUAAGAGCUUGCUCUUACGGGUGGCGAGUGGCGGACGGGUGAGGAAUACAUCGGAAUCUACUUUUUCGUGGGGGAUAACGUAGGGAAACUUACGCUAAUACCGCAUACGACCUACGGGUGAAAGCAGGGGAUCUUCGGACCUUGCGCGAUUGAAUGAGCCGAUGUCGGAUUAGCUAGUUGGCGGGGUAAAGGCCCACCAAGGCGACGAUCCGUAGCUGGUCUGAGAGGAUGAUCAGCCACACUGGAACUGAGACACGGUCCAGACUCCUACGGGAGGCAGCAGUGGGGAAUAUUGGACAAUGGGCGCAAGCCUGGUCCAGCCAUACCGCGUGGGUGAAGAAGGCCUUCGGGUUGUAAAGCCCUUUUGUUGGGAAAGAAAAGCAGCAGGUUAAUACCCCGCUGUUCUGACGGUACCCAAAGAAUAAGCACCGGCUAACUUCGUG
rnacentral:rRNA from 1 species